rnacentral:rRNA from 1 species
GAAGGGUGCAAGCGUUUAUUCGGGAAUAACUGGGGCGUAAAGAGCGUGUAGGUGGUUUUGUAAGUCAGUUGGUUAAAUGCCACAGCUUAACUGUGGGACCUGCGAUUGAAACUAUGAGACUAGAGGAUAAGAGAGAGAAGUGGAAUUCUCGGAGUAGCGGUAAAAUGCGUAGAUCUCGAGAGGAACACCGAUUGCGAAGGCAGCUUCUUGGCUUAUUCCUGACACUCAAACGCGAAAGCGUGGGGAGCAAACAGGAUUAGAUACCCUGGUAGUCCACGCCGUAAACGAUGAUCACUAGAUGUGGGACGAGCUUGCUUGUUCCGUGUCGAAGCUAACGCGUUAAGUGAUCCGCCUGGGGAGUACGGUCGCAAGAUUA